GAUGAACGCUGGCGGCGUGCUUAACACAUGCAAGUCGAACGGAAAGGCCCAAGCUUGCUUGGGUACUCGAGUGGCGAACGGGUGAGUAACACGUGGGUGAUCUGCCCUGCACUUCGGGAUAAGCCUGGGAAACUGGGUCUAAUACCGGAUAGGACCACAUUUUGGAUGGUGUGGUGGAAAGUUUUUCGGUGUGGGAUGAGCUCGCGGCCUAUCAGCUUGUUGGUGGGGUAAUGGCCUACCAAGGCGUCGACGGGUAGCCGGCCUGAGAGGGUGUACGGCCACAUUGGGACUGAGAUACGGCCCAGACUCCUACGGGAGGCAGCAGUGGGGAAGAUUGCACAAUGGGCGCAAGCCUGAUGCAGCGACGCCGCGUGGGGGAUGACGGCCUUCGGGUUGUAAACUCCUUUCGCUAGGGACGAAGCGUUUUUGUGACGGUACCUGGAGAAGAAGCACCGGCUAACUACGUG
rnacentral:rRNA from 1 species